CAGUAGCGCGGGAAAACGUAGGGCGCAAGCGUUGUCCGGAAUUAUUGGGCGUAAAGAGCUCGUAGGCGGUCUGUCGCGUCUGGUGUGAAAUCCCGAGGCUCAACCUCGGGCUUGCAUCGGGUACGGGCAGACUAGAGUGCGGUAGGGGAGACUGGAAUUCCUGGUGUAGCGGUGGAAUGCGCAGAUAUCAGGAGGAACACCGAUGGCGAAGGCAGGUCUCUGGGCCGCAACUGACGCUGAGGAGCGAAAGCAUGGGGAGCAAAUGGGAUUAGAUACCCCAGUAGUCCCUGUCUCUUAUACA
rnacentral:rRNA from 1 species